CCUACGGGAGGCAGCAGUGGGGAAUCUUGCGCAAUGGGCGAAAGCCUGACGCAGCCAUGCCGCGUGAAUGGUGAAGGUCUUAGGAUUGUAAAAUUCUUUCACCGGGGACGAUAAUGACGGUACCCGGAGAAGAAGCCCCGGCUAACUUCGUGCCAGCAGCCGCGGUAAUACGAAGGGGGCUAGCGUUGCUCGGAAUUACUGGGCGUAAAGGGAGCGUAGGCGGACAUUUAAGUCAGGGGUGAAAUCCCAGAGCUCAACUCUGGAACUGCCUUUGAUACUGGGUGUCUUGAGUGUGAUAGAGGUAUGUGGAACUCCGAGUGUAGAGGUGAAAUUCGUAGAUAUUCGGAAGAACACCAGUGGCGAAGGCGACAUACUGGAUCAUUACUGACGCUGAGGCUCGAAAGCGUGGGGAGCAAACAGGAUUAGAUACCCUGGUAGUCCACGCCGUAAACGAUGAUUGCUAGUUGUUGGGAUGUUUACAUCUCGGUGACGCAGCUAACGCAUUAAGCAAUCCGCCUGGGGAGUACGGUCGCAAGAUUAAAACUCAAAGGAAAUUGACGGCUGAGAGNGCGAGACGACACGAGGAGGAGG
rnacentral:rRNA from 1 species